UCACUGAGAUAGCUCAGCUGGUAGAGCACAGCACUUAAUCUCAGGAUCGUGGGUUUGAGCCCCACAUUGGGUGAA